CUUGACCUGAUAUCUUUACGGUCCUUGCAUAUAUGCUAAAAGACUGUUGUGUGUGUCGGGUCGCGGCCUAUGAUCGAGUGCCGACCCUCGGUAGCCCGAUCGCUCCCGAAGCCCUUAACGGCCAUUCGGACGUCGGAUGCUGUCAGUUGCACGACAGCAUCGAGUCGCGGUUACACUGCACCGUUUCUGUACACAACACUAAGCAACCAGUUCAUGAUAUUUACUCAUAUAUUCAGUUGUGAUCAUCCUCAAUCGGAAAUUUUAUAAUUCUAAUACAUAGCUCAUCAAAUGUGCUAACUUUGAGCCUUGUUAAACAGUUCUUUAGACGCCUCGAUUGAACCAGAGUAAAAGAUCAGGCCAGUAUCUAAAACACUCUUGGACAACUAAGCGUAGCCAUGUUAAUAAUUUUCGUAACUACCCGCUUGGCAAAGAGUAUCUCAUUUUGAUGCCUCUCGCUACCCCUGACCCUAGUUUUAAAGGAAUCAUGCGACACACUCGCACUCCACUACCCCAUCCCAUGGAAAAACGCUCCCACCAUCGAGGUGUUGACCAAAAUUCCGCUGUGUGCAUGAGACACACACUCGCACUCCUCCCGCCCUCCACAGAUGAACGCACCCACCGUUGCGAAGAUGCGAGAAUUUUUGCUCUGAGCGUGAGACCCUGAAGCGCAAGAGAUGUGUUAAGACGAUCAUAAUUCGAUAUGGUCAAAAUGCGUCGAUUAUCGUUUCAUUUAUCUGGUAAUGAUGUUUUCACUUCAUCAAAAUUUUAAACAUAAUCAACUAGGCUGAUAACAAUAGUUGAAAUUUAAAACAGAAUAAAAUCAAUUCAUUUGAAAUGAAAUAAAUUACAUUAUACUCUAUUUUGACCAUAUGAUCAACACUUGUACAUAAUGCCAUUUAUUUUGUGUUCUUCACUCUCGCGCUGUGUUGUGAUCGUUCGAAACUCAUUGCCAGAACGAAUGCAAAUUUCAUUUUGGAAGGAUCGGUGCCGGAAGAGGCAGCGAAAAUUAUGAAAUGAUAAUAGAAAAGUGGUUAAGUUAAUCGUGAAAGAUGUCAACGCAGGCGUAAAUGCAGUACAGUGGAGUGCCGUUUAUCCGGGUACCUUUUAUCCGGUUAUCCGUUUAUCCGUGCUGUUGAAAACUGACAGUUCAAUACCUAGAUGACAUUGCGUGCUGACGAGGAUAUUUGAAAUAGCGGUUACCAGAACAUUUUGUCAUAACAAAAUACGCUAUAAUAUAUAGCACAUUGCAAAUAUUCUCUUCAAAAAACAUGAAGUUUAUAAAACUAGCUAGGUUUUACUAAAAAAUAAUAUUAAUUUCAAAAACAAACCAGGAUUUUGUGAUAAAAUAAAUACUUUCACUCAUUAUCCGUGUUAUUCGCUUAUCCGGGCGAGGUCAAGUCCCGAGAAGCCGGAUAAACGGCGCUCCACUGUAUGUUUUGUUACAUGAUCUACGGGUAAGUGUAUGCAUAAGAAGAAGAAUCUUCCAAAUGAUGUUUGUGUUCUAACAAUCGUACUGCUUUUAAUAUUUGUUUAUUCUUCUAUUAUUUUCUAUCACACGUAGCUAUUUCAUCACCAAAGCUUCUGAUAACAGAUCAAAGCAGAUGGAUAGGGCAUACAGAGUCGCCGUUUAAUUUAAAAUAUCUUCGUGAUCGGCAAACGCAUCAAACAGCAAGGGUUUUUUUUCCAACACCACGCACCAUCGGUGGAGCAAGCAGCCAACGUUUUGUUCGCCCAGCGCGCACCAUCAUGAAUUGAAAUAUUCCGAUUAGCUUUGUGAAUAAAAAACUGCACACUUACUGUAGGAAUUUCCUGGAA